rnacentral:tRNA from 1 species
GGGGAUUUAGCUCAGUGGCACAGCGCCUGCCUCGCAAGCACAAGGUCCUGAGUUCAAUCCCCA